rnacentral:rRNA from 1 species
UACGUAGGGGGGCAAGCGUUGUCCGGAUUUAUUGGGCGUAAAGAGCGUGUAGGCGGCCUGAAAGGUCAGCUGUGAAAACUCGAGGCUCAACCUCGAGACGUCGGUUGAAACCAUCUGGCUAGAGUCCGGAAGAGGAGUGUGGAAUUCCCGGUGUAGCGGGUGAAAUGCGCAGAUAUCAGGAGGAACACCGGUGGCGAAGGCGGAUCUCUGGGCCAUUACUGACGCUGGAGGAGCGAAAGCGUGGGGAGCGAACAGG